GACGAACGCUGGCGGCGUGCCUAAUACAUGCAAGUCGAACGCAGUGGGGACGGGUGAGUAACACGUGGGUAACCUCCCAUCAGAGGGGAUAACAAUUGGAAACAGGUGCUAAACCGAUACUGGUGGAUGGACCCGCGGUGCAUGAGCUAGUUGGUGAGGGAACGGCCAACCAAGGCCACGAUGCAUAGCCGACCUGAGAGGGUGAUCGGCCACACUGGUACUGAGACACGGCCCAGCCUCCUACGGUAGGCAGCAGUGGGGAAUAUUGCACAAUGGGCGCAAGCCUGAUGCAGCCAUGCCGCGUGUAUGAAGAAGGCCUUAGGUUUGUAAAGUACUUUCAGUCGGGAGGCGUUACCGACAGAAGAAGCACCGGCUAACUCCGUGCCAGCAGCCGCGGUAAUUC
rnacentral:rRNA from 1 species